ensembl:lncRNA LINC00989 long intergenic non-protein coding RNA 989
GUCUUUGGAAAUUAUUACAAAGUUCAGCUGGAAGUCUCCUUCUCCCUGUGGACCUUCCCCAAUUCCACUGGCUGCCCUCCUCAAGGACCCCUGUGAGAUAAAUUCAGAAAUGGCUAUCCUUGGCUUCCCUGGGGAACAAGAGUGCCUGCAGUUCUUUUCCCACUUCUUUUACUUUUCUAUUUCACUGGGCUCUCUAAAUUCAUUUCAGCUCUAGGGAUUUGGAAAGGAUUCCGUGAUGGUUAAUAUUGAGUGUCAACUUGAUUGGAUUGAAGGAUGCAAAGUAUUGUUCCUGGGUGUGUCUGUGAGGGUGUCACCAAAGGAGAUGAACAUUUGAAUCAGUGAGCUGGGAGACACAAACCCAUACUCAAUCUUGGGGGACACCAUCUAAUCAGCUGCCAGUGCAACUAGGAUAAAAUCAGGCAGAGAAAUUUGGAAAGACUAGACUGGCUGAGUCUUCUGGCCUUCAUCUUUCUCCCAUGCUAGAUGCUUCCUGACCUCGAAUAUCAGACUCCAAGUUCUUUAGCUUUUGGACUCUUGGACCUUUGGCCACAGACGGAAGGCUGCACUUUUGAAGUUUUGGGACUUGGACUGGCUUCCUUGCUCCUCAGCUUACAGAUGGCCUAUUGUGGGACUUCACCUUGUGAUUGUGUGACCCAAGUCUGGAUGUAAAUGUGUUUUUAGGCAACUUCCACGUGGAAAGAGGUACUCAUCAAGUUUAGCUGAAUAGUCUUGUGAUUCACAGCUUGUCUUUUGAGAAGAGUGGAGGAAAUCGUGUCAUUUAUCAUGGGUAAUUCCAGUAUGGCUCACACUAUCAAUCUCUCUGACAAUCUCCUCAACAACUCGAAGACCAAUCUGUGGCUGGAAACUGUCCAGGUGAUAAGCAUCAGGAUGCUGUGGGCCAGGCCUGCUACAACACCUGCUCUAAAGUCAGAUGUACCAUCUGCAGUGAAUGUAACCCAACUUAUGAAGAGGAAUCCAACAGUGUAACAAUGUUACAAUAUGCACGUAAGAAGGGACUUAGUGAUGUCCCCAGUGGGUUCACCUCUCUCUUUGAACUGAGCAAUUUUAUGAUUAUAGGAACAACUGUUUUCUUCUUUCAUAACAUGAGUAAAAAAGCCUGAUCAACUUCUGGUGGUAUAAAAUAUUCAGAUUCUUAGUAAAUAAGAAGUUUAGAGAUGGAAAUAAAUGCUUUAUGGAUUUGUUGUCUCAGCUAGACACAGGCUUCGAGAAUUUAGAAUAUUUUUCUUUAAUAUUCACUAUCUGAAAAAUAAAUAAGAAUGGAUUUUUAGUUUUAAAUGA